GGCACGGGUAAACAUGAAAGCAGUGAAGCUGGGUAGAUGGGGCCCGGGGAGGGACCUGAGGUCAAGCCAAAGAGGGUAGCUUUUAUGCUGGAGGUCACGAACGUGUCCCCAAGAUGAAGAGUACAAGAUCUGUGCUUUGGAAGCUGACUCGUAACCCCACGGAGAGAUCAGGUCAGGGGAGACCAGAGGUCAAACACAACAUUGCAGCCUUGUAGUUUCAGUGACUUGCUGCAAGCCAGGACAGUGGAGCCAGCUCCUUUCCUUCUCAAGCUUGGAGUGGGGGGCAGUGUUAAAUUCCACGAGAAACCAGACCCCAGACAAACGCAUUUCUCUGCACUGCAGGAUCUGUGCUUUCCUGGGCUUCUAGACCAACCCCAGCCUUCCAGCACCCCCAUCUCAAAGCACAGGCAACGCACCUACAAAUCGGAACCUGAGAAGUUCCUCCAGUUUGGCUACAGUGCAAAUAUUGGCUAGUUGAGGAUCCUCUGGCCUGCAUGGACCCUUUCCUCUUGUGGUAAAGAUUUGGCUUCAACCACUGCUGUGUUUGGACCAAAUUCCACCUGUUGGACUCAACACUGAGCAUCAGCCCAGCUGCCCUCACGGGGAAGCUUCGGAGCAUCACCAUGGUCAGGUAACCUGCAACACGCCGUGUGUUGAUAUGAGUUCUGUCUUCCCCUUCAUCUGUUAUUUUCUUUAACUUUCUAACUUGUUUGUUCGCCCUUCCUGCCCCCUCCCCGCUGUCACCCCUGCUCAGCCCGAGAGGUUAACUGAGACUGUUUACAAGGCCGUGAAGGGAAAGACUCCCAUCAGUGCCCUGCUGAAUGCUUGACUGAAUGCAGGUGAUGAAGGUAGCAGGAGCCAAGGGUCAGUGAGAUAGCCCAGGCUCGAGGCCUUUGGACAUCUUGUUGGCUGGCAGUAAAUGCAUUUCCUGUGUCCUCCAUCUGCUCUUUGGAAGCAACAUUUUCUGUGAGAUCUUUAUUCAGUCCUCCGAGCUGAGGAAACUUACUUAUUGGUUAAGAACAAAUGAUGUAAGUCAGUGGGCAGGGCGAGCCAGGCUGGAUGGGCUGACGGAAGGGUUACAGGUUCUUACCUUGUCUUAGUUACUUUUAACUUGUCGCUGAGACAAAAUACCUGAUGCACCAAGUUGGGAAAGGAAAGGUUUAUUUCUUACAGUUUUUGGAGGUUUCGGUCCAUACUCAGUUGGCUCCAAGUAGGGUGGCAUGGCAGGGCCACAGUUCAUGGCAGCUGCAAACAGCAAGGAGAAACUGGCAAGAGAGAGCGAGACGUGCCUUCUUCCUGCAAUUACGUUGUAUGCUGGCUCCACCCCUAUGUGGGUGUAGCACUGACACCAUCAAUCCGAGCACUAGACAAUGAACCAGUCACAGGUGCAUAAUGUAAACGCAUGAGGCCUGGGGGCCACCCACAUAAACCAUGACAUACCUGUUGGUGCUCUUUCUUCUUGGCAUCUCUAGGAGGCAGAGCGGUGCCUUGUUUCCAUCUGAAAAUGAAGAAAUCAAUGGAAUGUUGCUCAUUAGUGCUGGGCUGGUAGAGAAAGGGACUAACUGUCUCCAAGAGUGUCCUCUUGGGGGCCACAAGUCCUCUGUGAAUUACAGACUAGCUCUUAGAACGUUGAGAGCUGCCAGGGGUCAUUCAUUAUUAGAGGGUACAGGAGGAUCUUUAUUGAACAAAACUGGUUUUUGGUGCUGUUAGCAGUUGAUAAAGUCCAUUAACUGAAGCAAGCACUUGGCAGUGGCUUAGCGUUGGGUGUCUACUGUGAUUGACGUUGGGGUGGCACAAUGAAGGGGCUUCCCCACCAAACUCUAGCACUCUGACUUGGAACUGAUGACACCAUGGCACACUUACUGCCCUCCCUACUCUUCAGGCAGAUCUCACUUAUGUAACCACAGUUCCCUUCCCCAGCUUGGAGGCAUCCCUAGGAACCCUUCCAUUCCAGCCCUGCAGGGAAGCUCUGUCAAUAAAACAAGCAUUGCUGUGCUGGGCCUAAUUAGAAAUAAAGUCGCUGGGCAGGAACAUUUGCAUAUCCAGGCACCAAGGAAGACCUGGUGUCUGGUGGGGGUGGGGACAGAUGUGGCCCCAGUGCCUGUGGGCUGACCUAGCAGGGGCAGUAGAUGGUGAACAGACAGUCCCAUAGUGUCCUGGCGGUGAGAGGGCUGCAAGGGGCAGUGGAGGACACCAGUGUGUCAUGGGGUUCUCAGCUGCUGCAUGUGCAGAUACUGUGCCUACCUCAAAGGCAGCUCUGAAGAACACAUGAGGCUCUGUGUGUGCCGUCAUUCGGUGACACAAGGCUCAGGACACAGCAUGCCAUAACUACCAUCAGUGACACAGCGUUGUGUGCACAUUGGCCCAGCUUGAUCCCAGGAAUCAACCUGAUGAUUGCCAGAACUUCAAGAUCUAUUCCAACAGGUUUGAUUGCACUGCAAGUAUCUGAGUGUAUGUUGUGUGCUUCCCCACAAGCCUGUGGAUUUUUUGACAGCAGGGCUCUUCCCAUUUGGAAUCCUGUGGCCUCACAGACAGCCUUGCCCUGGGGCUGGGCGGAUAAUUUUGAAUGAAAAGACUUGACUUUUUCUUAGCAUUAGGGUAAGCACUUGGCCCUCUGUGAAUCUGUAAUGUCUGUGGGUAAUAGUUGGCUUUACAAAGGCAUUACGGUUUUACCUUGCGGGAAGUCUCUGGUGACAGGAGCACAGUUGGAAGCGAAUCUCCCCCUGUGGGUGUGAGGUAUUAAUAUAAGCUGUUGGAAGCUGGCAGAGCAGAUGUCUUGUGAUCCUGAAUUUUCCCCCAUGGCUCAAUCGGCCUUGCACACAGGAGGGGCGGGGAUACAGUGCCCAUCAGCCACUGCAAUAAUCCACGAGGUGGACAGAUACUUCCAGCUCUUGUUGCAGCGGGGAUGUCUGCUGGCCUAGGUAACCCUACAUUUCUCAGCUUUCCCCAGAUGUAGUUUCAACUGGCGAGACGUAACCAGAAGUCAUGGGGUGGCGCUUCUGGGAAAGCUUUUCAACGAGGGACAAACUCCGAUGAUGCCUUGCCUGCCUUCCCCGUUCCUUCCAUGGAUGUGGUGAUGGGAGCUGAGCCUUCAGUGAGUGUGAGCCAAAGCCCAGGAGGCCUGCAGAGCCCUUAUCCCCACCUGACCGAGCCCAGCACCCGGUACUGGUCACUUAUGAGAAAAAUUAUUAUCAGGUCAGUUUGCUACUGCGUAGUUCUCUGUUAUGUACGGCUGAACACAAACCCUGAAUGACAUGCUUUUUUCAAUUAUACAAACUCCAACCCUCCAGACAUGUGCUAUGAACUAAAAAAUACUUAAAAAAAUUAUUGCAUCUGUGCCUCUCUUCUACAU